GACGAACGCUAGCGGCGUGCUUAACACAUGCCAGUCGAACGGAAAGGCCCCUUUGGGGGUACUCGAGUGGCGAACGGGUGAGUAACACGUGAGUAACCUGCCCUUGACUUCGGGAUAACUUCAGGAAACUGGGGCUAAUACCGGAUAGGAAUCCUUGCUGCAUGGUGGGGGUUGGAAAGCUUCGGCGGUUUUGGAUGGACUCGCGGCUUAUCAGCUUGUUGGUGGGGUAGUGGCUUACCAAGGCUUUGACGGGUAGCCGGCCUGAGAGGGCGACCGGCCACAUUGGGACUGAGAUACGGCCCAGACUCCUACGGGAGGCAGCAGUGGGGAAUAUUGCACAAUGGGCGGAAGCCUGAUGCAGCAACGCCGCGUGCGGGAUGACGGCCUUCGGGUUGUAAACCGCUUUCAGCAGGGGCGAAGCUUGUGGUGACGGUACCUGCAGAAGAAGCACCGGCUAACUACGUG
rnacentral:rRNA from 1 species